GAUGAAGAACGUAGCGAAAUGCGAUACGUAAUGUGAAUUGCAAAUUCAGUGAAUCAUCGAGUCUUUGAACGCACAUUGCGCCCCCUGGUAUUCCGGGGGGCAUGCCUGUCCGAGCGUCAUUGCUGCCCUCAAGCACGGCUUGUGUGUUGGGCCCCGUCCUCCGAUCCCGGGGGACGGGCCCGAAAGGCAGCGGCGGCACCGCGUCCGGUCCUCGAGCGUAUGGGGCUUUGUCACCCGCUCUGUAGGCCCGGCCGGCGCUUGCCGAUCAACCCAAAUUUUUUAUCCAGGUUGACCUCGGAUCAGGUAGGGAUACCCGCUGAACUUAAUCAUAUCAAUAAGCGGAGGA
rnacentral:misc_RNA from 1 species